rnacentral:rRNA from 1 species
UACAGAGGUCUCAAGCGUUGUUCGGAUUCAUUGGGCGUAAAGGGUGCGUAGGUGGCGCUGUAAGUCGGGUGUGAAAUUUCGGAGCUUAACUCCGAAACUGCAUUCGAUACUGCGGUGCUUGAGGACUGGAGAGGAGACUGGAAUUCAUGGUGUAGCAGUGAAAUGCGUAGAGAUCAUGAGGAAGACCAGUGGCGAAGGCGGGUCUCUGGACAGUUCCUGACACUGAGGCACGAAGCCCAGGGGAGCAAACGGG